CAGUCGCCGCGGUAAAACGUAGGUGGCAAGCGUUGUCCGGAAUUAUUGGGCGUAAAGGGCUCGCAGGCGGUUUCUUAAGUCUGGUGUGAAAGCCCCCGGCUCAACCGGGGAGGGUCAUUGGGAACUGGGAAACUUGAGUGCAGAAGAGGAGAGUGGAAUUCCACGUGUAGCGGUGAAAUGCGUAGAGAUGUGGAGGAACACCAGUGGCGAAGGCGACUCUCUGGUCUGUAACUGACGCUGAGGAGCGAAAGCGUGGGGAGCGAACAGGAUUAGAUACCCCAGUAGUCCCUGUCCCUUAUAC
rnacentral:rRNA from 1 species